GAUGAACGCUGGCGGCGUGCCUAAUACAUGCAAGUCGAGCGAACGGACGAGAAGCUUGCUUUUCUGAUGUUAGCGGCGGACGGGUGAGUAACACGUGGAUAACCUACCUAUAAGACUGGGAUAACUUCGGGAAACCGGAGCUAAUACCGGAUAAUAUUUUGAACCGCAUGGUUCAAAAGUGAAAGACGGUCUUGCUGUCACUUAUAGAUGGAUCCGCGCUGCAUUAGCUAGUUGGUAAGGUAACGGCUUACCAAGGCAGCGAUGCAUAGCCGACCUGAGAGGGUGAUCGGCCACACUGGAACUGAGACACGGUCCAGACUCCUACGGGAGGCAGCAGUAGGGAAUCUUCCGCAAUGGGCGAAAGCCUGACGGAGCAACGCCGCGUGAGUGAUGAAGGUCUUCGGAUCGUAAAACUCUGUUAUUAGGGAAGAACAUAUGUGUAAGUAACUGUGCACAUCUUGACGGUACCUAAUCAGAAAGCCACGGCUAACUACGU
rnacentral:rRNA from 1 species